rnacentral:piRNA from 1 species
ACAACAACAACUACAAGUGACUUAGUGAUA